GACGAACGCUGGCGGCGUGCUUAACACAUGCAAGUCGAACGGAAAGGCCCUGCUUUUGUGGGGUGCUCGAGUGGCGAACGGGUGAGUAACACGUGAGUAACCUGCCCUUGACUUUGGGAUAACUUCAGGAAACUGGGGCUAAUACCGGAUAGGAGCUCCUGCUGCAUGGUGGGGGUUGGAAAGUUUCGGCGGUUGGGGAUGGACUCGCGCCUUAUCAGCUUGUUGGUGGGGUAGUGGCUUACCAAGGCUUUGACGGGUAGCCGGCCUGAGAGGGUGACCGGCCACAUUGGGACUGAGAUACGGCCCAGACUCCUACGGGAGGCAGCAGUGGGGAAUAUUGCACAAUGGGCGGAAGCCUGAUGCAGCAACGCCGCGUGCGGGAUGACGGCCUUCGGGUUGUAAACCGCUUUCGCCUGUGACGAAGCGUGAGUGACGGUAAUGGGUAAAGAAGCACCGGCUAACUACGUG
rnacentral:rRNA from 1 species